rnacentral:rRNA from 1 species
ACUUGCAGCCAUACCACACUUAGGAUGCCACAUCUUGUCUGAUCUCUGAAGCUAAGGAGGGUCAUGCCUGGUUAGUAGUUGGAUAGGAGACUCCUCAGCCACUUAUUCUCAGCUUCUU